UGGAAGUUGACCAAACCGAAAAUAAUUUUCAUAUAUAAGUCCAAAAUCAAGGAGAGAGAAGAGAAACACCUCAUUUCAUCUUUCACCACCCUUUUGGGUGAGAUUUUUCUCGCAACAUCCCCCUCCAAGAACCCUAGAAGACAUAGGUGAGGUUCAAAUUGAAGGUCAAGGAAGCUAGGAGCAUUAGAAUGAAGAAUAGAAGAUCAAAGAGAAGACCGAAGCAAGUACAUCCCAACUUGAUAACUUGGGUUUGGAUUGUUUUCACUUUUUCUUCUCUUAUCUUUGGAUGAUCAUGUGUAGCUGGUUCUUUGUUGUUAUUUGGAUUGGAUGUAUAUUCUUGCUAUGAUUAUUACAUAGAAGUAAAGGUUUGGAUAUGUGGAUGCCAUGAAUGAAGAAUGAUGUGCUUGGAUUAUGGUGUUUUCAACCUAGUUUGUACCAUGGCUUGAAUUAGGUCAAAUGAACUCGCUCCUUUGCAUGACUUUUCCUAGGAUUGUGUAAGUUGUUAAUCGAAGAUUGUAGUAAUGUGUGUGUGGACCAAGCCACACCCCAAUUCAACCACUUGUUCUAGGAUUUCUUUAAUGGCAUUUCAUCGAACACUUGGCAUGCAUUCCGGAUACCACUCAAUUGAGUGACAUAAUUGAGGGAUUAGCUGUUUGGG
rnacentral:lncRNA from 1 species